AGUGAACGCUGGCGGCAGGCCUAACACAUGCAAGUCGAACGGCAGCACGGCAGUAGCAAUACUGUGGGUGGCGAGUGGCGGACGGGUGAGGAAUACAUCGGGAUCUACCCUGUUGUGGGGGAUAACGUAGGGAAACUUACGCUAAUACCGCAUACGACCUGAGGGUGAAAGGGGGGGAUCGCAAGACCUCUCGCUAUUGGAGCGGCCGAUAUCAGAUUAGCUAGUUGGUGGGGUAAAGGCCUACCAAGGCAACGAUCUGUAGUUGGUCUGAGAGGACGACCAGCCACACUGGGACUGAGACACGGCCCAGACUCCUACGGGAGGCAGCAGUGGGGAAUUUUGGACAAUGGGCGCAAGCCUGAUCCAGCAAUGCCGCGUGCAGGAAGAAGGCCUCGGUUGUAACGUAGC
rnacentral:rRNA from 1 species